GCUGUUCCGUGGGACCGAGACUGUGCCCGAGAACUGAAGAAUAACGAAGUUAUCCUUAGCGUCCUCCUAAAGGCUUUUCCUUUUGGCAUCUUAAAAGCUUGAGAGAUAAAAUGGAAACCCCAGAGAGGAGUCUGGGCAGGCUCCCAGGGUGCAUGCUGCCUCCAUAAAUCUGCUGAGCUCUAGACCCUCAAUCAGGACUUGUCCCUUGGCUAGCAGGAUCCUGGGAACACCUUUGGCCCUGCCCUGUGUAGAGAUGUUCAUGUCUGUUUCUGUGGGUCACUUUGUUAAGCUGAAGAGUUUUAAGAGUUAGAGCUCAGACCCUGGACUGGGAUUUUUCUUACCACUCAAACUUGCUAUCCACACACCCUGCACACCUUAGAUAAAACGAACAUUUUAAAAGCAGAGUUCACUUUCACUCCAGUCCCCCCUCUUUUGCCCUCACUGAAGCCAAACCACAGAAGACUUUGAGGAAUGAGAGACAAAUGAGGUAGAGCUCACCUGUGCUCACCAGCUCCGUCAGGGUGGUCAGCCGACCCCUUUCCCUGGGAACCCCACUUCUCUCUCUGGCUGGCUUGGUUGUCGGGGGUGAGAUGCCAUAUUGAUUACAGGGCAGCAAAGAACCAGUACCAGGAAUUUACUUGACCAUUCCCCUUAUUUUUCAUCUAGAGGAAUCUUGGAUUCAGCCCUUUUAUUGCUAAGACACCUUUUCACUGAGGUUCUUACCAGCUCAGCCAAAUCUCCACUCUGCUAUAGCAGAAGCAAUAAUGUUUGCUUUAAAAAGAUUUCUUGACUAUGCCUUUUCUUAGAAAGUUUGAUAGAUUAGUUAGAACUUCAGAUCAUCAGAUCAGUCUCAAAUGCGUUUCUUGGAAUUUUAUAUUUGACAAUAUUUAUACUAUACCAAACUCAUUUGCAGUUCUUAGGUUUGUUGGUUAAAACAUUUUUUUAAAGCAGUAAGUUUAUAGAAAAUGUUUUCAUUUAAUGGAAGGCUGGGGAAUGUCCAGCAUCAACCCCUAUGGCAUGCAUUCCCAGUGGCCUUCUCAUCUGGGCCUGGAACCUUUGGUUCAGGGCUUAGGGGAGAACAGGCCACGUGGCAACAGCCACACAGUCAUUGCCUUCAACACAGAGCCACGUGUCCCCAAACAGCAAUAGUCAUGCCCUUGUCCAGGCUGGGAUCUAAUUGAUACAAUAGGUCGUUGACUCCCUCCUAGUAGAGCUAUCUAGGUUUGUCUGGAAAGUUUCCGACCCUGGCUUAUAGGCACCACACCUCAUGUACUCCUCAUGGCUUGGAUCUCUGUAUUCAGCCUUUGUUCAGUCCAAUAAACUUUGAGUAGAUGAU
rnacentral:lncRNA from 1 species